rnacentral:rRNA from 1 species
GAUGAACGCUGGCGGCGUGGUUAACACAUGCAAGUCGAACGAAAUAUACUAACUUAAUUUGUUUAGUGGCAGACGGGGUAGUUACACGUCGGAACUCACCCCAGCGACGGACACAACCCCGCCAAAGCGGAGCUAAUAUCCGAUCGUCUCCGAACUUGCAAGAGCGUCGGAGUAAAUCUAGCAAUUCGGUUUGGGAAAGGCCUGCGGGCUAUCAGCUUGUUGGUGGGGUAGUGGCUUACCAAGGCUAUGACGGGUAGCAGGCGUGAGAGCGCGACCGCCAACAUUGGGAAUGAGAUAAGGCACAGACUACUCAGGGAGGGAGGAGGGGGGAAUAGUGCACAAUGGGCGGAAGGCUGAUGCAGGAAAGCCGCGGGGGGGAAGACGGCAUUCGGGUUGGAAACCGAUUUCGCUUGUGACGAAGCGUGAGUGACGGUAAUGGGUAAAGAAGCACGGGCUAACUACGUG